AUUGAACGCUGGCGGCAGGCCUAACACAUGCAAGUCGAACGAGUGGCGGACGGGUGAGUAAUGUCUGGGAAACUGCCUGAUGGAGGGGGAUAACUACUGGAAACGGUAGCUAAUACCGCAUACCAUCAGAUGUGCCCAGAUGGGAUUAGCUAGUUGGUGGGGUAACGGCUCACCGAGGCGACGAUCCCUAGCUGGUCUGAGAGGAUGACCAGCAACUCGGGAACUGAAACACGGUCCGACCUCCUACGGGAGGCAGCAGUGGGGAAUAUGGCACAAUGGGCGCAAGCCUGAGGCAGCCAUGCCGGGUGUAUGAAGCAGGCCUUCGGGUUGUAAAGUACGUUCAGCGGGGAGGCGUUACCCGCAGAGGAAGCACCGGCUAACUCCGUGCCAGCAGCCGCGGUAAUAC
rnacentral:rRNA from 1 species